GGGAGGGCGAGGGGAGGAGAAAGCGGCGCGCGGGGAGCCCGGCCGCGCUCAGCCGCUCCUCACCUGGGCCGCCGCCGCGCCGUUUCCGUGCUGUUGCUGCUGCUGCUGCUGCUGUUGCUGCUGCUGCAGAUACUCGCCGUGGCCGCCGCCGCCUCCGCCGCCGUCCACGUCCAAGAUAUGCCUGCUGCUCGUGGAAGGAAGAAGUGAGCACGGAAUCCCUUUGGAAUCCCAGAUGGUUAUGAGUUGCCACAGGGAUCAUGGAGAUUUGACUAAGGCGCAUGCCCACGUGGAGUCAGAAGACCACUCACAGGUUGAUCCUUUUGUUCCACAGUGUGAGUCGCAGAUAUCAAACUCAGGUGGCCAGGCC
rnacentral:lncRNA from 1 species